GGGGAUGUGGCGGAAUUGGUAGACGCGCUACGUUCAGGACGUAGUGGGAGCAAUCCCAUGAAGGUUCAAGUCCUUUCAUCCCCA
rnacentral:tRNA from 1 species